rnacentral:rRNA from 1 species
UACGUAGGGUGCGAGCGUUAAUCGGAAUUACUGGGCGUAAAGCGUGCGCAGGCGGCUUCGCAAGUCAGACGUGAAAUCCCCGGGCUUAACCUGGGCAUGGCGUUUGAAACUACGGAGCUGGAGUGUGGCAGAGGGGGGUAGAAUUCCACGAGUAGCGGUGAAAUGCGUAGAUAUGUGGAGGAAUACCGAUGGCGAAGGCAGCCCCCUGGGUCGAUACUGACGCUCAGGCACGAAAGCGUGGGGAGCAAACAGG